CACGUAGGGGCCAAGCGUUGUCCGGAUUUAUUGGGCGUAAAGAGCUCGUAGGCGGUUGGGUAAGUCGGGUGUGAAAACUCCAGGCUCAACUUGGAGACGCCACCCGAUACUGCUCUGACUUGAGUUCGGUAGGGGAGUGGGGAAUUCCUGGUGUAGCGGUGAAAUGCGCAGAUAUCAGGAAGAACACCCGUGGCUAAGGCGGCUCUCUAGUACGGUACUGACGCUGAGACGCGAAAGCGUGGGGAGCGAACAGG
rnacentral:rRNA from 1 species